rnacentral:rRNA from 1 species
CUCAGGAUGAACGCUAGCGGCAGGCCUAACACCUGUUUAGUCGAGGGGUAACAGGGGAGCUUGCUCCCGCUGACGACCGGCGCACGGGUGCGGAACGCGUAUGUAACCUGCCCCUGUCAGAGGAAUAGCCGAGGGAAACGUGGAUUAAUGCCUCAUGGUAUUGUGAAGUUGCAUGAUUUUACAAUUAAAGAUUUAUCGGACAGGGAUGGCCAUGCGUAUCAUUAGCUAGUUGGGGAGGUAACGGCUCACCAAGGCGACGAUGAUUAGGGGCCCUGAGAGGGGGAUCCCCCACACUGGUACUGAGACACGGACCAGACUCCUACGGGAGGCAGCAGUGAGGAAUAUUGGACAAUGGUCGGAAGACUGAUCCAGCCAUGCCGCGUGCAGGAAGACGGCCCUACGGGUUGUAAACUGCUUUUUAACAGAAAGAAAGGUCUCCUGCGAGGGAGAUUGCCGUUACUGUAGGAAUAAGGNCCGNCUAACUCCGUGCCAGCAGCCGCGGUAAUACGGAGGGUCCGAGCGUAUCCGGGAAUCAUUGGGUNUAAAGGGUCCGUAGGUGAGGUUCUAAGUCAGAGGUGAAAGGUCGCAGCUCAACUGUAGAAUUGCCUUUGAUACUGGAGCUCUUGAGUUAUGUUGCUGUGGCCGGAACAUGUGGUGUAGCGGUGAAAUGCAUAGAUAUCACAUAGAACACCGAUUGCGAAGGCAGGUCACAAAGCAUACACUGACACUGAGGGACGAAAGCGUGGGGAGCGAACGGGAUUAGAUACCCCGGUAGUCCAUGCCGUAAACGAUGGAUACUAGCUGUUGGGUUUUCGGACUCGGCGGCCAAGCGAAAGUGAUAAGUAUCCCACCUGGGGAGUACGUUCGCAAGAAUGAAACUCAAAGGAAUUGACGGGGGCCCGCACAAGCGGUGGAGCAUGUGGUUUAAUUCGAUGAUACGCGAGGAACCUUACCAGGGCUUAAAUGGGAGAUGACCGGGUCAGAGACGACCCUUUCUUCGGACAUCUUUCAAGGUGCUGCAUGGUUGUCGUCAGCUCGUGCCGUGAGGUGUCAGGUUAAGUCCUAUAACGAGCGCAACCCCUGCCGUUAGUUGCCAGCGAGUCAAGUCGGGGACUCUAACGGGACUGCCGGUGCAAACCGAGAGGAAGGUGGGGACGACGUCAAAUCAUCACGGCCCUUACGUCCUGGGCUACACACGUGCUACAAUGGUCGGUACAAUGGGAAGCCACCCCGUGAGGGGGCGCGGAUCUUAAAAGCCGAUCACAGUUCGGAUCGGGGUCUGCAACUCGACCCCGGAAGCUGGAAUCGCUAGUAAUCGGAUAUCAGCCAUGAUCCGGUGAAUACGUUCCCGGGCCUUG